UUGACUGGAUUUAUUUUUCUGAAAAAAGGAACAAUUACAAGGCUCAAGAUGGUAUUCAAUAGAGUGAAAAACUUUAUAUCCUACUGGUAUCUACAAUAUCUUUUGGCAACAUCUGUAUACAUGUUGGAGCCCCUGGAAAGAAGAGUCUUUAAUUGCUUGUUGAUUAUUGUGCUGGCGAUGUUCAUGUAUACAAGUUAUGUUUUCCUUCCGGGCCAUGCCAGAAUGAUUAUUUAUUUCAUAAAUACAUACAUACUGGGAGGAAAUCCAUCAGAUGCAAGUGUGUAAGGGACAGAUGAGCACGAAAGGGGGGAAAGCUUUGAAGAAGAAAUAUAGAUGGACACAAAGUGAUCUCGAAGGUUGUUCUUUAUUAUGAAGAAGAUGCCGGUGCAAUGGAAACCAAAGAAAAAAAACUAGAAAUAGAUUGAUUUACAGUUUACUUGUACAUACAUGUAAAUGAGUUUAUUAUAUUGUUACCUUCACCCUCAUUGGAAUUCGAAAUAGACAUGUACUUCAUUGAGUUUAUUGUCAUCAUCAAUUCCUCACAGUCAUUUGAAUCAAGUUGUUGUGUACAUAUAUGUUAUUCUAAAGAAGACAUGCCACUUCAUCAUAGAAAUCAUAAUUUACUUGAUUUGAUUUGAACAUAUUUUAUUGCUAAUACUUUACAAUUGGGAUUGGGCAAAAGUUCUAAAAACUUAUUACGCCCUCUCCCUAAUUUACUUAAUUUACUUAAGGUUAGUCAAGAUAUGUCUAUGGCCCAUCAUUUAUUUCAACACCAUUUAUUCAUUGUUUAUUUUCUGGACAUAUUUUAGCUUUUAAUAUGUUGUACAUAUAAGCUGUACCAAAUGUUAAUUAUUAGAGGCAAUGUAUAGAAGCAGGAAAAUUUGUGUAAAGGCGUGUAAAUACUGCUCUUGUCAACAUUAUAUUAUUUUUUAUGCAUAAGUCCUUAUCUUGCCAUCAGUGUUUCUAAAGGUGUUAAUUACGCAUUUCUCAUUUGUGUCAUAUGAAAUUGCUACGCAAUGAUGCAGCCAUUAUGGUGAUAUAUGGAAAUAUUUUUACAAAUUUGAUUUCAAAGAUACUUAUGUUUGAAUAUUUCUGUUAUCAAUAUUCCAUAUAAACCCAGUUCUUUGACCUUGCAGUACGCAAUCUUGGAUAUGAUCAGUACAUGUACUUUAUGGUGUGUUUUAGAGUUGUAUAACAUUGAUAUAUUCUGAUUCAUUAUUAUUAAAACCAAUUUUUUGUGUUUAAAUACAUGUAUAUAAACAAUGUGAUUGAGAAAAAAGACUUAUCAAUGUACCCUUAAUAUGAUGGGUUGGUAUGUGCCAUUUUGUUAUUCUAAGCUCUAUGUAGUACUUUUUCUAUUGGUUUUAAAAUUGAAUUAAAAGAUAUAAAGGCCUUUUGUCUUUCUUGUUUGCCCAUCUUCUUUGUGAAGAACUUCCAGACCUCUGAUAUUAAUUAUUUUGUAAAUAAUUUUAAAAUUUAAUUUCAACAAAUUUUUUAUUACGCACUCGCAUAUAUGAACAAGGCCAGUGUUAACUGCUUGCCAUUAAAGUCUGUUAAUUAUUUUAAUUGUCUUGAUUGUAAAAGAGUGAAAGAAAAUGAAAACUGUUAAAAGUCUAAAUAAAUGUACAAUGUACGACUGUUUAAUAACUUUACUUAAUAAAAAUGUACAUAUUCCAAUAUUAAA